CACGUAGGCACCAAGCGUUGUCCGGAUUUAUUGGGCGUAAAGAGCUCGUAGGCGGUUCAGUAAGUCGGGUGUGAAAACUUUGGGCUUAACCCAAAGCGUGCAUCUGAUACUGCUGUUACUUGAGUUCGGUAGGGGAGUGGGGAAUUCCUAGUGUAGCGGUGAAAUGCGCAGAUAUUAGGAGGAACACCGGUGGCGAAGGCGCCACUCUGGGCCGAAACUGACGCUGAGGAGCGAAAGCAUGGGUAGCAAACAGG
rnacentral:rRNA from 1 species